UUGCCAUGAUUCUCUACCUCUCUGCUUCUUGCCCCUUUCUUUUCUCUUGCUCGUCUAUAACAUCAACUGUUGAGGGGAAUGUUGUCUGGUUCGAAGUCAUUCAUAUGAAUCUUAAAUGUCUUCUGAAUGAUUUCGGACCAGGCUUCAUUCCCCCCAACUUGUUUUAAUAGCUAUAUAUUCGCUCAGCUUAACCGUAUCAAGGAUCGAAGCAUAUGCAUAUAGGCUCAUUUGAUGCAAAUACAGAACGAAGAGUUUGAAUCCAGAAAUAUUAAGCCAAUGGAUCAGACAAGCCAAAAUUUGGCAACCUGGAAUUGGAAACAGGUAAAUUUGAAGGUAGAAUUUCAUAUCCUCUUUUUAUGGUUUUUUUCCUCCCUUGUCAUAAACUGUUGAGUCAAUGUGAACAGAUUACUGCAAAAAUUCGGUCUUCGUCAAUCUCUUUGGUUUGUUUAUUUUUUUGGGAUUUGAAGUGUUGAUUGUGGGAUGUGGACUUUGCUUGCAGAGACUUGCAAAGAAUAUAAGUUACUAGAACUUUGUGUGCUGUCCCUUUAGUUUUAUGUAUGAGUGAUGGAGAAAGAGAGAAAAAGGGAACUUUAAAUUUGCCUCAUUUUUUCCCUUCAGAAUUCAACAAAACAACUUCUUUGUACGUGCCAAACUAUAUCUACCUGGUGGGGCAGAUACAUUAACUCUUGGUGUGUCAAAUGAACAUGAAAAAAAAUACCAAAACUUUUCCAUGUGAAGCUCAUAAUUCUGUGGGUCAGAUCUGCCCGGCUGGGGUUGUCAAAAUGUUGAGCGACUGUAGCUACGUGGCUGCAGCUACUGAGUGUUUGAGUGUUUGUCAGAAGGCAAAAAAAAGAAUUGCAGGAGGUUCAUCUUAUCUCCUUGAGCUGAAGAGAAGACGCACUUGCAGUUUGUAAAAGAUGAGGUGAAGACAAUAUCAAAGGAUUUGAUAGGACUUGAGAGAUGGAGAUUGGAGAUCAAAGAUUACAAAGUGAAAAAAAGGGAGGGGAGCCACCAUAGGGCCUUGUCUGCUUAUGUGUUUCCCAUGUUGUGAUAACUUUUUCCAUGCACCAAAGGAGGGCUACAUCCCCUUACUGCCUAGGGCUCUAAAGUCAUGCACUACAUGUUAUAACAGUGAAAAUCUAUCUCUUUUCUCCUUUUUCCUUUUCCCCUUCUGUUAUUGUUCUUCAUGUUAGAUUAUGUCCCCAUCUACAUGUCAUCUUAUAAUUAAUUAAAUUUACGUUUACUUUCUGUUGUUUCGUGUACCUUGAUCACGCAUCCAUUACCACUAGUCGCAUAUACACUGCAGCACUGUAUGAAUUCCAUAUUGCAGAUUUGGGCAGGUGCUAGGAGCUUGGCCCCUAGUUGUCGUCAAUUCUCUGCUAAUCCUUUUUAAUGUUUGGGGGGUGCCACAGUCCACAGGUGAUCUCUGUUGGAUUAAAUUAAGAAUGUAACCACUGUUUUCAUACACGUUAUUCAACGAUCAGUUAUAUAUUACUCUAUUUCUUAAUGAAGUUAAGGUUCUCGGGUCUAAAUCAAAUUAGCCCCAGCAAAUUAAGGGACUGCUUUGACAAAAUCUUGUAAUCAUUGCUCUUCCUCAAAUAUAUAUUUCAGCUCCUUUUUCUUUCAA
rnacentral:sRNA from 1 species